GACGAACGCUGGCGGCGUGCCUAAUACAUGCAAGUCGAGCGUAUCAAUGGGAGCUUGCUCCCUGAGAUUAGCGGCGGACGGGUGAGUAACACGUGGGUAACCUGCCUGUAAGACUGGGAUAACUUCGGGAAACCGGAGCUAAUACCGGAUAGUUUCUUUUCUCGCAUGAGAGAAGAUGGAAAGAUGGUUUCGGCUAUCACUUACAGAUGGACCCGCGGCGCAUUAGCUAGUUGGUGAGGUAACGGCCCACCAAGGCGACGAUGCGUAGCCGACCUGAGAGGGUGAUCGGCCACACUGGGACUGAGACACGGCCCAGACUCCUACGGGAGGCAGCAGUAGGGAAUCUUCCGCAAUGGACGAAAGUCUGACGGAGCAACGCCGCGUGAGCGAAGAAGGCCUUCGGGUCGUAAAGCUCUGUUGUUAGGGAAGAACAAGUACGAGAGUAACUGCUCGUACCUUGACGGUACCUAACCAGAAAGCCACGGCUAACUACGUGCCAGCCGCCGCCGUAAAAC
rnacentral:rRNA from 1 species